rnacentral:rRNA from 1 species
UCUUCCUACGGGGCGCAGCAGUGAGGAAUAUUGGUCAAUGGGCGAGAGCCUGAACCAGCCAAGUCGCGUGAGGGAAGACGGCCCUACGGGUUGUAAACCUCUUUUGUCAGGGAGCAAGAACAGAUACGUGUAUCUGAGCGAGAGUACCUGAAGAAAAAGCAUCGGCUAACUCCGUACCAGCAGCCGCGGUAAUACGGAGGAUGCGAGCGUUAUCCGGAUUUAUUGGGUUUAAAGGGUGCGUAGGCGGGCUGCCAAGUCAGCGGUAAAAUUGCUGGGCUCAACCCCGUCAAGCCGUUGAAACUGGG